GAUGAACGCUGGCGGCGUGCCUAAUACAUGCAAGUCGAGCGAACAGACGAGGAGCUUGCUCCUCUGACGUUAGCGGCGGACGGGUGAGUAACACGUGGAUAACCUACCUAUAAGACUGGGAUAACUUCGGGAAACCGGAGCUAAUACCGGAUAAUAUCUUGAACCGCAUGGUUCAAUAGUGAAAGACGGUUUUGCUGUCACUUAUAGAUGGAUCCGCGCCGCAUUAGCUAGUUGGUAAGGUAACGGCUUACCAAGGCAACGAUGCGUAGCCGACCUGAGAGGGUGAUCGGCCACACUGGAACUGAGACACGGUCCAGACUCCUACGGGAGGCAGCAGUAGGGAAUCUUCCGCAAUGGGCGAAAGCCUGACGGAGCAACGCCGCGUGAGUGAUGAAGGUCUUCGGAUCGUAAAACACUGUUAUUGGGGAAGAACAAAUGUGUAAGUAACUAUGCACGUCUUGACGGUACCUAAUCAGAAAGCCACGGCUAACUACGUG
rnacentral:rRNA from 1 species